ACGGCGCACUUUCUGAACCACGACAAUGGCUCAGAGAAGACACAGAGACGUACAGGCGAGUCCAGGACAUCCUGUUGUCACCUGCACUCCUGAAGGAUAUCCCAUUCCUGUCCUCACAAGAGCAGACAUAUGGAUUGGAGGCCUUUCACAGUGUCCUCAUCCACUUCCUGCCGAAGUCCUACGCUUUUUCUGACGAGGGGAUGGUGGCUAGGACACAGUUGGCGAUCAUCCACUUCAACGAGAAUGCAGACCGUGUCCAGUUGGAGAGGGAAGGCGCGAAGCAGUACCGUCUCAAGGCAUUGAAGGUUAAGAAGACGUGGGUGGCUGUACCUCUGAAGGAGAGUGCUAGCUAUGGUAUGUGCUGGUUGCAUGCAUCAUGAAUGAAUCUAUGUUGCAGUCGUUGAGUUUUAGUU